GGAAUAAGCAUAACUUCAUAUUCAAAAUAAAGCUUUUUUAUAAAAUUAUUUUUACUUCUGCGCUUUUGACAACUACAACCGAUCUCAAAACUUUCGCCGUUUCAAGUUGUGCAAUAUGAUUGUGGUGAAGCUUCAGUCAUAAUUGGGGAAAUUGAUAAAUUCUAUUUGUUCUGAUCAAUAAAUCUUUAUGGCUCAUCAUAUAAAAUGUGUUUUCAUUUUUGUAAUACAGAUUAUGACAUUAGCUA